rnacentral:rRNA from 1 species
UACGAGGGGGGCGAGCGUUGUUCGGAAUUACUGGGCGUAAAGCGUGCGCAGGCGGUUCGUUGUGUCGGCGGUGAAAGCCCCGGGCUCAACCUGGGAAUGGCCGUUGAAACUGGCGAACUGGAGUGUGGCAGAGGGGGGUGGAAUUCCGCGUGUAGCAGUGAAAUGCGUAGAGAUGCGGAGGAACACCGAUGGCGAAGGCAGCCCCCUGGGCUGACACUGACGCUCAGGCGCGACAGCGUGGGGAGUCAAACAGG